rnacentral:tRNA from 3 species
GGAGAUGUCGCAUAGUGGUCUAGUGCACUCGCUUGGAAAGCGAGCAGGGUGAAAGCCCUCGAGAGUUCGAAUCCCUCCAUCUCCGCCA